GUCUUAGCUCAGCGGUAGAGCACCUGCUUUGCAUGCAGAAGGUUGCAGGUUCAAUUCCCAACAUCUCCA